GCUCCAGACGCGCAGGCUUAGCGGCCAUGACUCACGGGCCCAGCCACUUCGCAGCAUGUGGGAUCUUCCCGGACUGGGGCACGAACCCUUGUCCCCUGCAUCGGCAGGCAGACUCUCAACCACUGCGCCACCAGGGAAGCCCGAGCCAUAGGAAUUUGGAUGGUCAAGAACAUGCUCCAGUCAGUCCUUGAAUCCACAGAAUCAAACCAGCGUCUCAUCGUGGGGAGCGUCAUUAGUAUGAGCGUCAUCGACAUCAUCAUUACCAUCAUCAUCACCAUCACGCUAGUGGAAACACAGUUCUGUCCAACAAAUAAUAAUUGAGCCUUGACUCUGUUCUGGACACUGGAAUACAUGCCGGGGGAGAGAGAGCAAAAUGAACUUGUUCCAUCGCGAGACGCUCCCAAACUUCUCAUGCCAUCAGGUUCAGGCUUGAAGUCCAGGAUCUCAUCUUUGGUAUCAUUUCCAGUUUCAGGUAUACAGCAAAGUGAGAGAUUGGUUCAAGAUGGCGGAGUAGGACGUGUGCUCACUCCCUCUUGCGAGAGCACUGGAAACACAAGGAACUGCUGAACAAUCAUUGACAGGAAGACACUGGAACUCACCAAAAAAGAUACCCCACAUCCAAAGACAAAGGAGAAGCCACAGUGAGACGGAUGGAGUCUCGGUCAGUGUCGAUGGGUUGGGGAAGGAAGAAGUAAGAAGAGAUAAAAAGGAAAAGUUUGAACUUGAACCCGAGUCAUACCCAUCUCUCAUUGGAAUCCCAGAAACCAUCUUCCUCCUUUGGACAGGACAAAAAGACUUAGAAUCUCACCGUCAUUGGGCUUGUCAGACCACAUGGGACUGCAUAGUACCAUGCUUUUGGCUGUGAGUGUUUGGAAGGCAUGUGUGGGUUUUGCCUGCCCAACAUCUAUUCUCAUUUCUUAUAAAAAUAACUUGACUUUUUUUCCUUUGAGAAACUAACCUUCUCCUGGCCUCAGUCCCUCUUCCAGGUCCAGGUAGGUGUGUAGGCAGGCCUGGCAAUCAACAUGUCUCAUUCCUCUGACCACAAUGGUUGGUUUAAGGAUGACAAUAUGAUCCAAAUCUGGGCCAGCAGGUCUCAAUUUUGAUGCGUUUAUUGGCCUUCUUUUCCCCCAGGGAUGGUAAGCUCUGGGGAUGUAAGCCUGCUCCUGCCUCAACCCUCUAGAGAGAGCUUACUGCAGAGUGGAGCCAAUGUGAUGGGAGACCCCCAUGCUCAUAAUGUCGUUUGAGUUCCUCCCUGUCAGGCUUGGAUUUUCAGGUACUUGAGCCAAUAAAUCCAGUGUCUCCUUUUUUUUUUUUUUUUAAUUGGCUGUCUUGGGUCUUCGUUGCGGUGCGCGUGCUUCUCAUUGCGGUGGCUUCUCUUGUUGCGGAGCAUGGACUCUAGGCACGCGGGCUCAGUAGUUGUGGCUCGUGGGCUCUAGAGUACAGGCUCAGUAGUUGUGGUACAUGGGCUUAGUUGCUCCGCGGCAUGUGGGAUCUUCCCGGACCAGGGCUCGAACCCGUGUCCGCUGCAUUGGCAGGCGGAUUCUUAACCACUGCGCCACCAAGGAAGCCCCAUUUUUUUUUUUUUUCUUAAAUCAGGUUGACUUGGGUUUUUGACACUUGGAAUCAAGAGAGUCCUGAGUCAUGGAUCUGACUUUGUUGGGCUGGAGUGAGUGGAAGAGGCACCCAGGAUGUGAGGGGGUCUGGAAGCCAUGCCCUAGCAGAAGCUCUUAGGGAGACCAGCAGUGUUCGUCCCCAUCUGGAGGGGCUGUCUCUGGGCUGCUUGUCUUAUCUCAUCUGGUUAGGUGUGUUCUCAGGGCAGAACUAGACCAAAGAGAGGUGGUUAUGGAGGAACAGAUGGUGAGGACAUGAUUUCCAAUUUGCUGGAGAAAUAUAGUUGUAAAUUCCUAGUAUAGAAAUGAGAGCCUUGGGGCUUCCCUGGUGGCGCAGUGGU